rnacentral:rRNA from 1 species
GACGAAGGUGGCGACCGUUGUUCGGAAUCACUGGGCAUAAAGAGCACGUAGGCGGCAAGGUAUGUCGGGUGUGAAAUCCCUCGGCCCAACCGAGGAAUUGCGCCCGAAACUACCUUGCUUGAGGAUGGAAGGGGAGCGUGGAAUUCCUGGUGGAGCGGUGAAAUGCGUUGAUAUCAGGAGGAACACCUGCGGCGAAGGCGACGCUCUGGUCCAUUACUGACGCUGAGGUGCGAAAGCCAGGGGAGCAAACGGG